AGUAGUGUGCUUGAUAAAAAGACUGCUUUGAUGUAGCAAAAAUGAGGGUUUUUACUCCCUCCACUAUUA
rnacentral:tRNA from 1 species